UACGUAGGGGGCUAGCGUUGUCCGGAAUCAUUGGGCGUAAAGCGCGUGUAGGCGGCCCGGUAAGUCCGCUGUGAAAGUCGGGGGCUCAACCCUCGAAAGCCGGUGGAUACUGUCGGGCUCGAGUGCGGAAGAGGCGAGUGGAAUUCCUGGUGUAGCGGUGAAAUGCGCAGAUAUCAGGAAGAACACCCGUGGCGAAGGCGGUUCUCUGGGACGGUACUGACGCUGAGACGCGAAAGCGUGGGGAGCGAACAGG
rnacentral:rRNA from 1 species